rnacentral:rRNA from 1 species
GUUUAACGCUGGCGGCGUGCAUAACACAUGCAAGUCGAACGAAGUGGCGGACGGGUGAGUAACGCGUGAGUAAACUGCCUUAGAGAAGGGGAUAGCCUUUGGAAACGAAGAAUAAUACCCUACGCUCUAAGAUGGACUUGCGGCUGAUGAGUUAGUUGGUGGGGUAACGGCCCACUAAGACAGCGAUCAGUAGCCGGCUUGAGGGAGUGUACGGCCACAUUGGGACUGGGACACGGCGCAGACUCUACGAGAGGCAGCAGUGGGGAAUUUUGCACAAUGGGGGAAACCCUGAGGCAUCGACGCCGCAUAGUUUAGAAGGCCUUCGGGUUGUCAAAAUCUUUUCUAUGGGAAGCAGUACCAUAGGAAUAAGGACCGGCUAAUUACGUGCCAGCAGCCGCGGUAAUAC